UACAGAGGGUGCAAGCGUUAAUCGGAAUUACUGGGCGUAAAGCGUGCGCAGACGGUUGCGUAAGUCAGAUGUGAAAGCCCCGGGCUCAACCUGGGAAUUGCAUUUGAGACUGCGUAGCGUAGGGUGCGGAAGAGGGAAGCGGAAUUUCCGGUGUAGCGGUGAAAUGCGUAGAUAUCGGAAGGAACACCAGUGGCGAAAGCGGCUUCCUGGUCCAGCACCGACGUCAGGCACGAAAGCGUGGGGAGCAAAC
rnacentral:rRNA from 1 species